AUGGCUGCGUUGGAAGGAGGGACCUCACAGCUGUUGGCUUCCCCUGGACAUUCCAGGCACAGUGGCCACUGUGCAAGCCCUCUCCAACAACCUUGGUGGCCUCUUUGCUGUGGAUCCCAUGGCUGUGUCCGUGGCCUGAGAUGAGCCCUGAUGCUACAGAAGGCCAAGGACCACAGCGCCACACGGAGGCACAGUGAGUAGCCUCUGUUCCAAACAAUUCUGCGAGCCAAGAAAGUGUUCCUGCAGAUAAGCAUGCAGUUAGUCUUGCAUGAAGAGGCCAGCCAGGGCUUGCGUGUCAUCCGAGGGGCUGGCGCUGAGUCGGAGAGCCUGAGUGGGUGGCUGUCCUUUGCAGCUUUCCCUGUACGUGUGAUUUUAGAUGGUUUCUCAAGACUGUGGUCAGCGGCAAAAGCUGGUUUGACAGGAAAUUCUGAGAUUGCCAGUGACUGCUUUUGACUUUCUUGCUGGAACACUCACGCCUGACCAUGACCUUCCUUUGUCCAGCCUGCGGUUCUCUCCCACCCACUUCCAUCACUGCAGUGACAGGAAGGGAUGAAAGUGUCUGCCUUGACUCCAAGGGUGAUGAUGUCUCUCCUACUCUCCAGCACUCACAGAGACAGCAUUGCUGAGGCCACAACUCAGCAACUGAGCAACUGUUCCUGGGGACAGAACCCAACCCAGCUUAGCUAUCUAUGCAGCAGGCGAGCCAGCUGCUGUGUGGUGAGGACGUGUAAGAGGACCAUGUGGUUGGAAACCGAGAUCUCCUGCCAGCAGUUGUAGGAGUACGGCCAAGCAGUCAUGUGAUAGAUAACACUACCUUGAAAGUGAAGUCUUCAGUUCCGUCAAAGCCUUCAGAGGAACAUAGCCCUAACUGGCCUGGACCAAACAUUUUCAUCUCUCUGACUUUAUUUUCUCAGGGCUGCUCUGUAACUUGCGAAUGGCUUCAUUCUCCUCCCCCCCUUCUCUCUGAAGCAGGAUAGUCUUAUGUGGCCCUAGGUGUCCUCCAGCUCACAGAGAUCCACCUGCUUCUGCCUCUUGAGUGCUGGGAUGAAAAGCGUGUGACAUCACCCGGCUCAUUUUCUUUUUUCCUGUAUCAUUGGAGGUAGUGGGAUUUAUUCUAAUUUCUUUCCCAGCACAAUCCCGUGUUGAUUCAUUUACAAACCCAACAUUUCCACUUGGUCAGGCUUGCAGUCCCUCCCCCACCCCCAGGGAUUAUUUCCAUCCUUUCUGCAGAUAAUUAUGUAUUUCUCAAUAACACCGGAUAUUUACUGCCUGUGAUGUACUUAGAAGGAAUG